rnacentral:rRNA from 1 species
AUGAGUGAGCACAAUUGUACUGUCUUCAAUUGGAACAUACGGGGCCUCAACAACCCCGCUCGGCGUCUGAUUGUUCGAGAUUUGGUUCGCCAAAACCGCGCUUCCAUAGUCUGCCUCCAAGAAACAAAACUUGCUGUCGUUGAUUGCGCCGUUAUCCUUGAGAUCCUGGGGCCCCUGUUUGCCGACUCAUUAUGUUUCCUUCCUGCAGUUGGAACCAGGGGUGGCAUCAUACUUGCUUUCAACUCAGACCUCUUCUCCAUCCAGAGCACCUCCAACACCCUAAACACUAUAUCUGCAUCAAUAUCCAUGCGUGCUUCUGUGGCCUGUUGGUGCAUCACGGCGGUGUACGGUCCGCAGGGAGACAAUGAGAAAUUCUCCUUCAUCGAUGAGCUGAAAACAAUCCGUCAAAACAGCGAGCCUGCGUGGUUGCUUCUUGGUGACUUCAACCUACUGUGCAAGGCUGAUGACAAGAGCAAUGCAUUGGUCAGUAGACGCCUGAUCAAUGCCUUUCGUGCUGCUCUUAACCACAUGGAGGUCUCUGAAUUGCGGCUCCAUGGGCGGCGAUUCACAUGGACGAGCACAUGUCAGUUGCAAACAAAAACCAAGAUCGACCAUGUCUUCUGCUCAACCGAAUGGGGCCUGCUCUUUCCCCAAUGUCACCUGCGGGAACUUUCCUCGUCGGUCUCUGACCACUGUGCGAUGGUGCUGACAGGGCAGACGAGUCAACGACAGUUUAAAGGCUUCCAUUUUGAAAACUAA